rnacentral:rRNA from 1 species
AACGAACGCUGGCGGCAGGCCUAACACAUGCAAGUCGAGCGAGGACUUCGGUCCUAGCGGCGGACGGGUGAGUAACGCGUGGGAACGUGCCCUUUGCUUCGGAAUAGCUCUGGGAAACUGGGAGUAAUACCGGAUGAGCCCUUUGGGGGAAAGAUUUAUCGGCGAAGGAUCGGCCCGCGUUGGAUUAGGUAGUUGGUGGGGUAAUGGCCUACCAAGCCGACGAUCCAUAGCUGGUUUGAGAGGAUGAUCAGCCACACUGGGACUGAGACACGGCCCAGACUCCUACGGGAGGCAGCAGUGGGGAAUCUUAGACAAUGGAGGAAACCCUGAUCGAGCCAUGCCGCGUGAGCGAUGAAGGCCUUAGGGUUGUAAAGCUCUUUCAGCUGGGAAGAUAAUGACGGUACCAGCAGAAGAAGCCCCGGCUAACUCCGUG